CAGUAUGGCCAAACCUCCUCCUGAUCUAAGAUUUCAGAAGCUAAACAAGGCUGGGUGUGGUUAAUACUUAGAUGGGAGACCACUAGGACCACAGUGAGGUGGCAAUACUAG
rnacentral:rRNA from 1 species